GACGUAGGGGGCCAGCGUUGUUCGGAAUUACUGGGUGUAAAGGGUUCGUAGGCGGUGUGGCAAGUCGGGAGUGAAAUCUCUGGGCUCAACCCAGAGUCUGCUUCCGAAACUGCUGUGCUUGAGUGUGGGAGAGGCGCGUGGAAUUGCAGGUGUAGCGGUGAAAUGCGUAGAUAUCUGCAGGAACACCCGUGGCGAAGGCGGCAUCCUGGACCACGACUGACGCUGAUGAGCGAAAGCUAGGGGAGCAAACGGG
rnacentral:rRNA from 1 species